GACAGAGGGGGCAAGCGUUGCUCGGAAUUACUGGGCGUAAAGGGCGCGUAGGCGGAAUGGCAAGUCGGUCGUGAAAUCCUUGGCUCAACCGAAGAACGUCGAUCGAAACUGCCGUUCUUGAGGAUUGCAGGGGAGACUGGAAUUCCCGGUGUAGCGGUGAAAUGUGUAGAGAUCGGGAGGAACACCGGUGGCGAAGGCGGGUCUCUGGGCAAUUCCUGACGCUGAGGCGCGAAAGCGUGGGGAGCAAACGGG
rnacentral:rRNA from 1 species